GAUGGCACAGGUUCCUUGCUGCAACCAGAUAUAUGUUUGCAUCUUUGAAAGUUCGCAAUUUGCAGGUUUGUAUGUAGGGGACUUACUGUAAAUAUGUUCAAACUGCUAACUACUGUCCGCCCUCUCGGAUCACAGCCUCUAACUACCCUGAUGCUCAAGCUGGAGAGCGAGCCCUUCCGCAUAGCUCUCCUCCUCCCCUCAGAUCCAGCCUGAGUCCCUAAGGGCUGUCUCAGCCCCCAUUCUCCCUCUCCUGAGCCUGGCAGUAGCUUCCCAUUUGGCUCCCUCCUCCUCCCUGGCCCACUAGGCAGCCUCUGCCUCCCCUCAGAAAUUAGCAGAGUGACAGGUUUUACUUUUACCUUUGUGUGCCCCAGGGUUCUUAUCUUAAAGCGAAACAAUAAGUACCUCCAACCCCACCCUGGUUUCACAGCUUUGUAGAGGGUGCAAUGAACUCAUAAUGAAAGCACUUAGAAUUGUGCCAAGCACAUCGUAAACACUCAAGAAAUGUCAAUUAUUAUAAAUAUCACUUGUUGCACGAAUUUGCUGUCCUUUCAAACAAAGGAUGCACACAUCUUUAUAAGUGCUGAAUUUGUAUAAUGCUUGCUUUGAAAUACCAAACCUUUGUAUGGGGAGGAGUGUUUUAAACUGGUCGUAUUUAGGUCCUGUUUGCCUAACGAGCCCUUUACCAUUUGUAAGUAUGGAAAUUUUACCCUAAGCCAGUUAUAUGGGCCGGUGUCCCCAUGUGGACACUAGAUGGCGCUGCAGCAUAGAGUGGCUGUUGGGACCUGGAAAAAGCCGGCAGUGCCACCUGACCUUCUCCUCUCCAAUUUAACCUUUAGCCUGGGGUGGCGGUACCGUGGCUUAGAAUCGAAUCCUAUGAUGGCAGAGUGUAUUAAUGUCUCUCUGGUGACCGCUCCACUGUGGACACUCAGACCCUGCACAUCACACAUCCCUCACAGCAGCCUGGACGUGAGGCAGGCCAAGGAUGGCUUCUCGGGUUUCCGGAUGAGGAAGCAGGCCCAGAGCAGCACAGAGUCACCCGGCGACACGUGGAGCACAGACCCUGCACGCGGCCGGGUCCCCAAGGUUCAAACGUGCUGGUGGAGCUGGGGAAGCGGCGCCGCCGGGCCUCCGGUGCCCGGGCCACGCACCCACGCCUCCCAGGGGCUGGACUGACCCCCUCACCCACCCGGGAAACAGACGGUCCGGCAGCACACGCAGGAAGCACGAGCCAGAAGGGAGCGCCCGAUUUUCUCUUUUCCAGAAAUGUAUUUUCAGUUUUUAAAUAAAAGGCUUUGCUUCUACAAUAAUAGUGAACGCACAUUGUAAGAAAUUCAAGGGACUUCCCUGGUGGUCCAGUGGUUAAGACUCCCAAUGCAGGGGUCCCGGGUUCGAUCCCUGGUGGGGGAACUAGAUCCCACAUGCUGCAACUAAAAGAGCCCUGCAACUAAAAGAGACCACAUGCAGCAAUUAAAAGAUCCCGCGUGCUGCAACUAAGACCCAGCAGCAGCCAAAUAAAUAAAAAGAAAGAACUUCCAGUAACACUGAAGAGCACAAAAAAGAAAAUUUUCAAGUGCUCUGGAAGGCCAGCACCCCCAGAAGCAUCGAGGGAGACAUCUGUCUAUGCACCUAUUCAGAGAAAAGGACAGGUAGAUUGAUGGAAAUUUUUACCAAAAAGUGUUCACACGGUACGUGCUCUUUUUGGGAAAAGUGUUUAACAGAAAGGAAAAAAAAAAAAAAAAGAAGAAGCCUAAAUGUAACUAAAGAAAUUGCCAAGCUGCAAAUAAUUAAAAGGAAAGAAAAAUACCCAGGGACUGAAUUCAUUCUUGAAAUAUGCUUCAACUGUAGAUGGCAUCUCUUGACAGCCUGUGGAUUUAGGAUGAGGAAAUGAGCUCACCCACUUCCUAUCUCUUCCCCCCUCCCAAAUGUUGUGAGUUCUUAUUUUUACAUUGUCAAGGUUUGUAACUACCUGCAUCCUGUCCUGUAACCAUCCUUCCCACCAUUGUUUGGCCCCUGCUCUGUGCGUGCGCGGGUCCCCUGCUCACUGCCAGUCCUUUUAGAGUGGGUUUCCCAGCCCUCCAUUCUUGAGUUCUUGACUUUGAUUCACCUCAUGUUUGACUUGACUUGUCCCCAAGAAGUCUGUUCAGGGAGGGCUUUGGUGGUCACAGCCAAGAGGGGUGGCUGCUAGGAGCAAGGUUGGAGGCCUCAAUUCUGAAAAGGGGGUGGGCGGGCUAUAAAAUCGGCUGAUUUAUGCCCAGUGAAACUGGCAUAAAUCCCCAAUGUAGGAACAAGCACUAAUACUUUCCAGUGUGACUCCUUGCUGGACAGAGUCUUCAACUUGUAUUUGGUUGCACAUAGUUGAAGUCUUAGAAUUUGGAAAUAAAGAAAAUGACUAGGGUGGGGAACCCAGAGAGUAUUGUUUUCUUUUUUUGGGCCGCACCAUGCAGCAUGUAGGAUCUUAGUUCCCCAACCAGGGAUCCAACCCAUGCCCCCUGCAUUGGGAGCACAGAGUCUCAACCACUGGACCACCGGGGAAGUGCCUUGUUUUCAAAGAAAGGACAUGCCAGAUUUCUGGCUCAGGGGGCCUCUGUGACCAGGCCACCACCACUACCCUAACAGCACCCGCCCCCAACACACACACACACACACACACACACACACACACACACACACACUUCAUACCUUUGACAGCAGUGCCUAAUCCCAUAUUCACCUGGAAAAACCCAACUUCUCCUUCAAGACCAAGGUCAAAUGACACCUCCUCUGUGAAGCCUUUUGUAUGUUCUGGAUUAUUGCUUGGCAAAUAUUUACUUCUCUGCCUUCCCACUUUGGCAGUGGUAUACCUCCAGGCCCCUUUGCUCCUGGGCUCUGCUAUGUGACUUGCUUUGGCCAAUGAGAUAUUUGGAGACAAAACGUGGAGUACAGCCUUGGCAUGAGCUGGUGGAAGAGCCCACCCACUCGUGUUUCUGCCAUUGCCACAAGCACACCUUUCCCUGCAUGGCCUAGUGGUUCCAGGAGAAUGAGAGGCAGGGUAGACCUCCAUGUAAUCCAUGCCCAGGAGCCAGUCUAACCAGGCCCAGCUGAAAUUGUCAGGGCUGCCCCAGUCAGUGUGCAGACACAUGAGCCAGAAAUAAAUGCUUGUAACAGUAAGUUAUUGAAUUAUGGGGUCAUUUGUUAUGCAGCAUUGUUGUGACAAUAGUUGACUGAUACACGUUCUCUGUUCAUUUCCUCUUUUGUGCUUGAGAUGCACUUUGUGCCCACAGCUUUACUUAUUAACUGUAGGGCUGAUUUUGUAGCAGAGUCUGCCCUCCCUCUGGCCUGUGAACAGUUUGAAGAAAGGACUGCCUCUCAUUCAAUUCUGACUCCCCAGUACCCAGCUAGAUGGCACCCAAUAUCAUUCUUUCCAUCAGCACUCUGUCCAGGAUAGCCAAGUCCAAGUGGAGAGCCCAGGCCUCUGCUUCCAGGACUCACCUGCAAGUAUGGACAAGAAGGUUCCAAAGCCCUAAUCUUCGGUACCCACUGCUGGGGAAAACACUCAGGGCAUAGCUGCUCUUACCUGGGAGCACCAGGGACCACAGUGGCUGCUUUCCUAGCCAGGUAGUGUAUGAAAACAGGGAGAAGACCCUGGUAAGUAGAUGUAGGAGGGUGGGAGAAAACUAAGCUCUUUGUCCAAAUAGAAACAAAGAGCCUUGGGGUAUGGAAAUCCUGGAAGCCUUCCUUACAAAGUGCCCGAGUAUCCAGGGGCAGUGAAGGCCAUGUCACUAAUAUAAUACAGACCCACCCUGGGAGAAUGAGUACUGAGAGCCAGGGUUCUGGCACAAGGAGAGCAGCUGUGGACUGGGUUUUCCAAACUCUGCCCAUCAGCAUCUUGCGAUGCUAAUCCUGGUUCCACCUACCCUACUUUCCUUAAAAUUGGUCAUCCAAACCAGAACACAUUGGUGAGUGAAAGGAGACACUGUUAAUAAUUGUGCCAGGACAACCAGCAUAAGCAGGGACAUAUGGUCAGCCUGUGUAUCGGACCAAGACCUAGACGCAGUACUGCUCAGGGGCCAAGGGUGUAGGCUCCAGAGUUAAGAGACCUGGGUUCAAAUGUGCCUCUUUGUGGCUCUGAAGCCAGGGCAAGCGAGUGGCCUCUGUGUGAUUCAGUUUCCUGAUUUAUAAAAUAGAGAUAAUGGGGUUGUGCCUGCUCCUGGUAAGCGCUUCCUAAAUGUUAGCUAUCCUUUUAACUGUUACUCUUUUCACUAAAUGGGUCCUUUAUUGCUAGAUCUCAGAAACACAACAAAAGAAUUUCUUGAGAAGAACAAGCCCACAUUCUGAAAGGAGCCCUGAAUAGUUUUCGCCACGCACAGGGCUCCUGUGGUACCUCCACCCUCCUCUCUAGGGAGCUGGUGUGACUGACACUGACCAGUCUGGCCAGGGCACCUGCAGCCAAACUUGGAUCUUCUGGACGCACCAGCUUUCCUGAUUCAGGAGCCUCAGGACUAACCUCAGAUGAUGCUUAUUCCUCACCUGCUCAAAACCUGGCCUUAGGAGCAUAGCUCAGAAUCUGAGUCCGUAUAAUCCAGCCCCCGCUAAUGGGAAGAGAUGAAGACAUGGAUUCCCUUCACACAGCCCCUCUCCCACCUGGCUGGGGAGGCUGACGUGCGGGAUGACAAAGGCAGAGCCCUACAUGGAUCAACCGUUCCUGGCUCUCUGAAGUUGCAGAACAAUCUUGGACACCUCACCCAACCAGUGCACAGUAAGAAAAGUUGCAAAGACUGCCCCUGUGUCCUGCUUGCCGUCUGCUGUACACGGUGGGGUGUCACUCCAGGACGUUGCUUCGGACAUGAUAAAACAACACAUUGUGGGAAGCAGUCUGACCUGCAAAGACUCAUCGGCGUGAAAGUGAGGAGCAGACAUUACAUCAUAGGCAGCACCACACUGAAGCCACAUGUCGGUUUUUGCUCACUCUGCUGAGAUGGUACAGCUUCUGAUUGAACUGACUCAAGUCCUGAAGAUUACUCAAACUCUUGUGUUCCCACCAGGCCUCUUUUUAGUGUCAGCCUUAUAUAAGAGCUUUCAUUUUACUGUCACCAAGAGAAAGUCCCAUUCAAUUCAUACCAGAUGCUGAGUCGUCGUGAAUCAAUACAACAGCAUCCAAAAACCACCAAAAUGAAUCAUAAGGACAAACAGGACUUUUCCCCCAGCAAAACAGUGACUAAAAUAGUGUUUUGCCCUUUUAGAAAAAAAAAAGUUACAAGGUUAAUAAGACACGGCUUCAGGCCCUGCUUGUGUAACACACGUGUCUGUGGGCGUGAAGUGGUUAAAUUGCGUGUCCUCAGCAAGACAGUGUAUGAGGCCUGCAGCUGAGCCAGACAGAGGCUGGCGAGAGGAGGUGAGACUUGGACAUCAGGGGCCCUAGACUGGGAGUCCAGUGAUGACCUGAAACUGUUAGGCAAUCCUCCUCCAUGUGAGUGGCAAGGAUAUCUGAGACUCAGAGUUUAGGAAUCUCUACCGUGGAGGAGAGGCUCUUGGGAACUGUGGAGGCUCUUCCAGGAAAUGAGCAUCCAGAAUCUUCUCCCGAUAGAGCCGGGGAGAUCCCCAAGACUUGUUUCUCAGUCCUGCCUCUGCUCCCUGGAUGCUGGGAAUAGCACUCCGAUUACCUAUGGAAGUGAGAAAUGGUAUAUGUCCUCCCUGGGGUGGGAGGGGGUGGGCCCACCUAGGCACUCUCUCCUGGCCUCUGACCCUUGAAUGGAGGGAAGCAAAAGCAGAGAAGAGAUGGCGGCUGACACAUCCCCGUAGUGGCUGGAUGAGUCUCUCAGUUGGUUCCUGCUUCUGGGUCCCCAAGGCCUCCCAGGUUCCUGUCCUUUGCAGACUAGGUUCUUCCAGUUUCCCCUUUAUUGUGUGAGGGACUCCCUAUCCUUCCAAUGGGUUUCCUUUGCGACAAGGUCAGUGUCUGUUUUCCCACCGCAGCACCAAGUCAUUGCUGUCAGAGGCACUGAGAGCUGUGUGUCCCAUUCCAUACCCCACAGACUACUGCAGGAGCCCGGGAACAUGGGCUGCAGAGCCCUGCUCGUUGAUAUUCACAAGGUAGGAGUCAGAAGGUCUCCCCUCAGUAAAGGCAAAAUGGGAGCAAUGGAGGCCGAGAGCUCCCCGCAGUUACUGUGUCAACACUGAUCAAGGAACUGAAUCAUCAUAUGAUAUCACUUACAUAACCCGUGCUCUGCAACAGGAGAAGCCACCGCAAUGAGAAGCCC